rnacentral:rRNA from 1 species
AGUGAACGCUGGCGGUAGGCCUAACACAUGCAAGUCGAACGGCAGCACAGUAAGAGCUUGCUCUUACGGGUGGCGAGUGGCGGACGGGUGAGGAAUACAUCGGAAUCUACUUUUUCGUGGGGGAUAACGUAGGGAAACUUACGCUAAUACCGCAUACGACCUACGGGUGAAAGCAGGGGAUCUUCGGACCUUGCGCGAUUGAAUGAGCCGAUGUCGGAUUAGCUGGUUGGCGGGGUAAAGGCCCACCAAGGCGACGAUCCGUAGCUGGUCUGAGAGGAUGAUCAGCGACACGGGAACUGAGACACGGUCCAGACUCCUAAGGGAGGCAGCAGUGGGGAAUAUUAGACAAUGGGCGCAAGCCUGAUCCAGCCAUACCGCGUGGGUGAAGAAGGCCUUCGGGUUGUAAAGCCCUUUUGUUGGGAAAGAAAAGCAGCAGGUUAAUACCCCGCUGUUCUGACGGUACCCAAAGAAUAAGCACCGGCUAACUUCGUG